AACUGUAGUGUGUGUGCUCAGGUCCCUGUGGUAUCUGUUGGAGUUACUUAUCUGUAGUGUGUGUGUGUGUGCUCAGGUCCCUGUGGCAUCUGUUGGAGUUAUUUAACUGUAGUGUGUGUGCUCAGGUCCCUGUGGUAUCUGUUGGAGUUACUUAUCUGUAGUGUGUGUGUGUGUGCUCAGGUCCUUGUGGCAUCUGUUGGAGUUAGUCAUCUGUAGUGUGUGUCCCUGUGGCAUCUGUUGGAGUUACUCAUCUGUAGUGUGUGUGUGAUCAGGUCCCUGUGGCAUCUGUUGGAGUUACUUAUCUGUAGUGUGUUUGCUCAGGUCCCUGUGGUAUCUGUUGGAGUUACUUAUCUGUAGGGUGUGUGCUCAGGUCCCUGUGUCAUCUGUUGGAGUUACUUAUCUGUAGUGUGUGUGCUCAUGUCCCUGUGUCAUCUGUUGGAGUUACUUAUCUGUAGUGUGUUUGCUCAGGUCCCUGUGGUAUCUGUUGGAGUUACUUAUCUGUAGGGUGUGUGCUCAGGUCCCUGUGUCAUCUAUUGGAGUUACUUAUCUGUAGUGUGUGUGCUCAGGUCCCUGUGGCAUC